rnacentral:rRNA from 1 species
UACGGAGGGUGCAAGCGUUAUCCGGAUUCACUGGGUUUAAAGGGUGCGUAGGUGGGUUGGUAAGUCAGUGGUGAAAUCUCCGUGCUUAACAUGGAAACUGCCAUUGAUACUACUGAUCUUGAAUUUUCAGGAGGUAAGCGGAAUAUGUCAUGUAGCGGUGAAAAUGCUUAGAUAUGACAUAGAACACCAAUUGCGAAAGGCAGCUUACCUACAGGAAUAUUGACACUGAUGCACGAAAGCGUGGGGAUCAAACAGG